AGAGUUUGAUCCUGGCUCAGGACGAACGCUGGCGGCGUGCCUAACACAUGCAAGUCGAACGGGGUGAGGCCCUUCGGGACCUUUACCUAGUGGCGAACGGGUGAGUAACGCGUGAGGAACCUGCCUUUCAGUGGGGGACAACAGUUGGAAACGACUGCAAUACCGCAUAAAGCUUUUGGGAGACAUCUCCUGAAAGCCAAAGCUUGAUGUGCUGAAAGAUGGCCUCGCGUCUGAUUAGCUAGUUGGUGGGGUAACGGCCCACCAAGGCGACGAUCAGUAGCCGGUCUGAGAGGAUGAACGGCCACAUUGGGACUGAGAUACGGCCCAGACUCCUACGGGAGGCAGCAGUGGGGAAUAUUGGGCAAUGGGCGAAAGCCUGACCCAGCAACGCCGCGUGAAGGAAGAAGGCCUUCGGGUUGUAAACUUCUUUUACCAGGGACGAAGGACGUGACGGUACCUGGAGAAAAAGCAACGCUAACUACGUGCCAGCAGCCGCGGUAAUACGUAGGUUGCAAGCGUUGUCCGGAUUUACUGGGUGUAAAGGGCGUGUAGGCGGAGAUGCAAGUUAGGAGUGAAAUCUAUGGGCUCAACCCAUAAACUGCUUCUAAAACUGUAUCCCUUGAGUAUCGGAGAGGCAAGCGGAAUUCCUAGUGUAGCGGUGAAAUGCGUAGAUAUUAGGAGGAACACCAGUGGCGAAGGCGGCUUGCUGGACGACAACUGACGCUGAGGCGCGAAAGCGUGGGGAGCGAGCAGGAUUAGAUACCCUGGUAGUCCACGCCGUAAACGAUGAAUGCUAGGUGUAGGAGGUAUCGACCCCUUCUGUGCCGGAGUUAACGCAAUAAGCAUUCCGCCUGGGGAGUACGGCCGCAAGGCUGAAACUCAAAGGAAUUGACGGGGGCCCGCACAAGCGGUGGAGUAUGUGGUUUAAUUCGACGCAACGCGAAGAACCUUACCAGGGCUUGACAUUGAGUGAAAGGACAAGAGAUUGUCCCCUCUCUUCGGAGACACGAAAACAGGUGGUGCAUGGCUGUCGUCAGCUCGUGUCGUGAGAUGUUGGGUUAAGUCCCGCAACGAGCGCAACCCUUAUCCUUUGUUGCCAGCACGUUAUGGUGGGAACUCAAAGGAGACUGCCGCGGACAACGCGGAGGAAGGCGGGGAUGACGUCAAGUCAUCAUGCCCCUUAUGUCCUGGGCUACACACGUACUACAAUGGGAUGGACAGAGAGCAGCGAAGCCGCGAGGCCAAGCGAACCCCAUAAACCAUCUCCCAGUUCGGAUUGCAGGCUGCAACCCGCCUGCAUGAAGUUGGAAUCGCUAGUAAUCGCAGGUCAGCAUACUGCGGUGAAUACGUUCCCGGGCCUUGUACACACCGCCCGUCACACCACGGAAGUCAUUCACACCCGAAGCCGGCAGGCUAACCUUUUGGAGGCAGCCGUCUAAGGUGGGGGCGAUGACUGGGGUGAAGUCGUAACAAGGUA
rnacentral:rRNA from 1 species